AAACACAAGAAAUUAUUUUAUUUUGAAUUUAUGGGAGUAAUUCAUAUAGGGAAAAAAUCACAUGCUCACAAAUGGCCUCUACCAUGCUGAAACUGCCCCUCGAAGGAGAACCACUAUAACUGCCCGAUCCUCGAGGCCUCUUGGCCUCCCUUUCCUCUCGCUCUUAUUGGUGAACCGACUCAAUCUCACGAGCGAUAUCAACCACCUUCUCGAACGAAGCACCAGAUACCCUCUCUCGGGUCAUAAGAAUACAGAGCUGGUAAGUAAGACCAUCAACAAAUCUCCUGAUCCUCUCUCGAUCUGUCGGAACCAACCAGAUGGCACGACGAGUCAACUUAGAAAACCUCGACUCAUACUGUGACAUAGUCAUCUCCCCCUAUCGCAACCACUCAAACUGCCUACACAGCUCCUCUCUACGGGACUACGACACAUACUUCUCCAGGAAGAGAACGAAGAACUGCUGCCAAGUAAGGGGUGCUACACCAACACGCCUAUGCCCCUCAUACGCCUCCCACCAAGUGAA
rnacentral:lncRNA from 1 species